GGGCCGUACUUUAAAAACCUUUCGCCAGGCCUGGCACUGGAGUUCUCCGGGCGAUCCGAUAUUUGGUACCAUUAGACGGAAUGAACGCUUCGCCGGGCUAAGCCUCGCCAGCGCUGAGGACGAAAUAGUAAUGGAACUUGCCGCCGAACGAAAGUCCAGGCGGAGGCUUCCUUUCCCGCUGGCGAAAGGCAUAAAUUUGAAUUGUUUUACUAUGUCUGCAGUAGCAUGAGAAGUUGAACGAAUUAGAAAAGACACACUCAUUUAUUUUUGCAAUAACUCAAGCAAGUUUUAUAAAUAUCGAUGUAUUUACAUAUUUUUUCAAGACUAUGUAGUAUCGCUCCAUGAGGAUUCAAGACGCCUGCCUCCUCCGGUAUUGACAUAAGAGUGCAAGCAAGUAUAAAGGCUGUAGUCACUGUCUAGUGGGGUCACUCCCUCCUAAACCUAGAUCAAGAGCAAGACCCAGAUGAUGGCAGCCUUACAAGUUUUUGAGGAGCUUGAUGUCCUCGAGGAUGCUGCAGGGGAAAGGGUCAGACUGCCGAGAAGGAUUGUGAAGGAUCGCUUGGAUUUAUUCCUGACUUUGACUGAAGAGGAAUUUACAUCCAGGUUCAGGAUAUCAAAGCAAAGCGCAAGGGCCUUACUUGCUGACUUACAUUUACCAGAGGCAGCUGAUGCAAGAGGAUGUCCUGUACCACCUCACCUUCAACUCCUCAUCACCUUAAGAUGGAUGGCCACUGGUGACCUGCACCAAACUAUUGGAGAUUGCCUGGAUGUCUCUCAGCAGUUUGUAAGUUCAUGCUCUUCACGUACUGUGCGUGCCAUUGCUGCUUUAUAUCAGCGGUAUGUAAAGAAUUCCUGGAAGGCAUGAGUUAGGGUCCAUCAAGACAAACUUUGAAGCAAUCUCUGGAUUCCCAGGUGUCAUUGGUGCAAUAGACUGCACACAUCCC